GACGAACGCUGGCGGCGUGCUUAACACAUGCAAGUCGAACGGAAAGGCCCUGCUUGCAGGGUACUCGAGUGGCGAACGGGUGAGUAACACGUGGGUGAUCUGCCCUGCACUUCGGGAUAAGCCUGGGAAACUGGGUCUAAUACCGGAUAGGAGCCAUUUUUAGUGUGAUGGUUGGAAAGUUUUUUCGGUGUAGGAUGAGCUCGCGGCCUAUCAGCUUGUUGGUGGGGUAAUGGCCUACCAAGGCGGCGACGGGUAGCCGGCCUGAGAGGGUGGACGGCCACAUUGGGACGUGGGUAGGGCCCAGAUCCCGAAGGGGGGCAGGGGGGGGGAAGAUUGCAAAAGGGGGGAAAGCCUGAUGCAGCGAGCCCGGGGGGGGGAUGACGGCCUUGGGGUUGGAAACUCCUUUGGCUAGGGACGAAGUUUUUUGGGCGGUACCUAGAUAAGAAACACCGGCUAACUACGU
rnacentral:rRNA from 1 species